GUCUACGGCCACGCCACCCUGAACGAGCCCGAUCCCGUCUGAUCUCGGGAGCUAAGCAGGGUCGGGCCUGGUCAGUACUUGGAUGGGGGACCACCAAGGCAGAUCGGGUGCUGUAGGCG
rnacentral:rRNA from 1 species